rnacentral:rRNA from 1 species
UACGUAGGGGGCAAGCGUUGUCCGGAAUCAUUGGGCGUAAAGAGCGCGUAGGCGGCCCGAUAAGUCCGCUGUGAAAGUCAAGGGCUCAACCCUUGAAUGCCGGUGGAUACUGUCGGGCUAGAGUCCGGAAGAGGCGAGUGGAGUUCCUGGUGUAGCGGUGAAAUGCGCAGAUAUCAGGAGGAACACCAAUGGCGAAGGCAGCUCGCUGGGACGGUACUGACGCUGAGGCGCGAAAGCGUGGGGAGCAAACAGG